GAGUUUGAUCGUGGCUCAGGAUGAACGCUGGCGGCGUGCCUAAUACAUGCAAGUCGAGCGAACGGACGAGAAGCUUUGCUUCUCUGAUGUUAGCGGCGGACGGGUGAGUAACACGUGGAUAACCUACCUAUAAGACUGGGAUAACUUCGGGAAACCGGAGCUAAUACCGGAUGAUAUUUUGAACCGCAUGGUUCAAAAGUGAAAGACGGUCUUGCUGUCACUUAUAGAUGGAUCCGCGCUGCAUUAGCUAGUUGGUAAGGUAACGGCUUACCAAGGCAACGAUGCAUAGCCGACCUGAGAGGGUGAUCGGCCACACUGGAACUGAGACACGGUCCAGACUCCUACGGGAGGCAGCAGUAGGGAAUCUUCCGCAAUGGGCGAAAGCCUGACGGAGCAACGCCGCGUGAGUGAUGAAGGUCUUCGGAUCGUAAAACUCUGUUAUUAGGGAAGUAACAUAUGUGUAAGUAACUGUGCACAUCUUGACGGUACCUAAU
rnacentral:rRNA from 1 species